rnacentral:rRNA from 1 species
UACGGAGGAUGCGAGCGUUAUCCGGAUUUAUUGGGUUUAAAGGGUGCGUAGGCGGACUGCCAAGUCAGCGGUAAAAUUGAGAGGCUCAACCUCUUCCCGCCGUUGAAACUGGUGGUCUUGAGUGGAUGAGAAGUACGCGGAAUGCGUGGUGUAGCGGUGAAAUGCAUAGAUAUCACGCAGAACUCCGAUUGCGAAGGCAGCGUACCGGCAUCCAACUGACGCUGAGGCACGAAAGCGUGGGGAUCAAACAGG